rnacentral:lncRNA from 1 species
CGUAGGAGUUGACGAAGUCCUUGCACUGCCCGAUGACGCCGUGGGGCAGCAUGUAGCACACCUUCUCGAUGUCGUUCACCAGCUGCUCCUGCCGGCACAAGGCAGGAGAGGGGAACCCCGGCUCCUCGGUGCCCCUUAGCCCCNNNNNNNNNNNNNNNNNNNNNNCAGAGGUGGGGCUCACCUCUGUCACGUUGUUCUCCAGCAGGCUCUCCACUGUCUUCACGGUGAACUGGCACAUGUCACACAGCGGAGUGCUCCCCACCCUGUCCUGUGGGGACAAGGGGGUGGGAUGCAUGAUGAGCCCCCCCAGAGCCACCCUCAUCCUGUCCCACCAUCAUCCCCCACAUAAGGCAUUCCCCAAAUAGGGCAUCCCCUAAGUAAGACAUCCCCCAAGAAAGGCAUCUCCCACAUAAAGCAUCUCCCACAUAAGGCAUCUCCCACUUAAGGUAUUCCCCACUUAAGGCAUUCCCCCACAUAAGGCAUGCCCCACAUAAAUCAUCCCCCAAGUAAGGCAUUCCCCACAUAAAGCAUCCUCCAAGUAAUGCAUCCCCCAAGUAAGGCAUCCUCCAAGUGAGACAUUCCCAAUGUAAGGCAUUCCCCACGUAAGACAUUCCCCACCUAAGGCAUUCCCCACCUAAGGCAUUCCCCACCUAAGGCAUUCCCCACAUAAGGUGUUCCCCUCCCGGGAUAAACAGAGGUUUUUGAGGAAAUAAAACACCAAAUGAGGCUCUCCCUCCAGAGUGUUUGGAUUUCAAGGAGCACAGCAGAACUGAGGGGGUCCCCACUCACCCCCAGCAUGCUCAGGACCUGCAUCACCCUCUCUGCGAGCAGCGUGUGGAGGGGCAGCGCCGAGUGGGAGGCACAGAGCCCCAGCUGGCCACACAGCUCCGUUGGCUCCUGGGCCAGGUGGUGCAGCAGCUGGGCAGCCGUGUCCGUGUACUCGGCCAGGGAGCGCUUGCACUGCGGGAGGGAGGCACAGCGUCAGCCCCCGGCCGGCCCGGCCCGGCCGCUCCUCCGGGCACGCGUCUGCCAGAGACGCUGCCAGCCGGGAGGAGCAGGAGGAGGCGCUUCCAUCCCGGGAAGGGCCCGGGGCAGCCGGGACAGCGCCAGCCUUAGGUCGGACCUGACAUACGCACGUGAUUCGGGCCCAAGAAGAUAAAAAUGUUU